CUGAUGCGUUGUUGGGUAGGGGAGCGUUCUGUAAGCCUGUGAAGGUGGCCUGUGAGGGUUGCUGGAGGUAUCAGAAGUGCGAAUGCUGACAUAAGUAACGAUAAAGCGGGUGAAAAGCCCGCUCGCCGGAAGACCAAGGGUUCCUGUCCAACGUUAAUCGGGGCAGGGUGAGUCGACCCCUAAGGCGAGGCCGAAAGGCGUAGUCGAUGGGAAACGGGUUAAUAUUCCCGUACUUGGUGUUACUGCGAAGGGGGGACGGAGAAGGCUAUGUUGGCCGGGCGACGGUUGUCCCGGUUUAAGCGUGUAGGUGUGUGUUCCAGGUAAAUCCGGUUCACUUUAACACUGAGGCGUGACGACGAGGCACUACGGUGCUGAAGCAACAAAUGCCCUGCUUCCAGGAAAAGCCUCUAAGCAUCAGGUAACAUCAAAUCGUACCCCAAACCGACACAGGUGGUCAGGUAGAGAAUACCAAGGCGCUUGAGAGAACUCGGGUGAAGGAACUAGGCAAAAUGGUGCCGUAACUUCGGGAGAAGGCACGCUGACACGUAGGUGAAGUGAUUUACUCAUGGAGCUGAAGUCAGUCGAAGAUACCAGCUGGCUGCAACUGUUUAUUAAAAACACAGCACUGUGCAAACACGAAAGUGGACGUAUACGGUGUGACGCCUGCCCGGUGCCGGAAGGUUAAUUGAUGGGGUCAGCGCAAGCGAAGCUCCUGAUCGAAGCCCCGGUAAACGGCGGCCGUAACUAUAACGGUCCUAAGGUAGCGAAAUUCCUUGUCGGGUAAGUUCCGACCUGCACGAAUGGCGUAAUGAUGGCCAGGCUGUCUCCACCCGAGACUCAGUGAAAUUGAACUCGCUGUGAAGAUGCAGUGUACCCGCGGCAAGACGGAAAGACCCCGUGAACCUUUACUAUAGCUUGACACUGAACAUUGAGCCUUGAUGUGUAG
rnacentral:rRNA from 2 species